rnacentral:rRNA from 1 species
AUUGAACGCUGGCGGCAUGCCUUACACAUGCAAGUCGAACGGCAGCACGGGAGCAAUCCUGGUGGCGAGUGGCGAACGGGUGAGUAAUAUAUCGGAACGUGCCCGGUCCGUGGGGAUAACGGUAGCGAAAGCUACGCUAAUACCGCAUACGAUCUACGGAGUGAAAGCGGGGGAUCGCAAGACCUCGCGCGAUUGGAGCGGUCGAUAUCAGAUUAGGUAGUUGGUGAGGUAAAGGCUCACCAAGCCGACGAUCUGUAGCUGGUCUGAGAGGACGACCAGCCACACUGGGACUGAGACACGG